CCGAGUUUACAACUCCCAAACCCCUGUGAACAUACCUAUGUUGCUUCGGCGGACCGUCCCGCGGCGCACCCUCGUGGCGUGACCCGGAUCCAGGCGCCCGCCGGGGAACCAAACUCUUGUUUUCUAGUGUCUCCUCUGAGUGGCAUAAGCAAAAAAUAAACA
rnacentral:misc_RNA from 1 species